rnacentral:rRNA from 1 species
AACCGGGUGAAAGCCUGGGGUGCCCCCGCGAGGGGAGCCCUAGCACAGGUGCUGCAUGGCCGUCGUCAGCUCGUGCCGUGAGGUGUUGGGUUAAGUCCCGCAACGAGCGCAACCCCCGCCGUUAGUUGCCAGCGGUUCGGCCGGGCACUCUAACGGGACUGCCCGCGAAAGCGGGAGGAAGGAGGGGACGACGUCUGGUCAGCAUGGCCCUUACGGCCUGGGCGACACACGUGCUACAAUGCCCACUACAAAGCGAGGCCACCCGGCAACGGGGAGCUAAUCGCAAAAAGGUGGGCCCAGUUCGGAUUGGGGUCUGCAACCCGACCCCAUGAAGCCGGAAUCGCUAGUAAUCGCGGAUCAGCCAUGCCGCGGUGAAUACGUUCCCGGGCCUU